GCACCCAUGGAGCAGCAGUUUAGCUCAUUCCCCUCCCAAGGGAAAGACCCGGGUGCAAAUCCCGGUGGGUGCA